rnacentral:rRNA from 1 species
AACGAACGCUGGCGGCAUGCCUAACACAUGCAAGUCGAACGAGACCUCCGGGUCUAGUGGCGCACGGGUGCGUAACGCGUGGGAACCUGCCCUUAGGUUCGGAAUAACUCCCCGAAAGGGGUGCUAAUACCGGAUAAUGUCUUCGGACCAAAGAUUUAUCGCCUUUGGAUGGGCCCGCGUUGGAUUAGCUAGUUGGUAGGGUAAAAGCCUACCAAGGCGACGAUCCAUAGCUGGUCUGAGAGGAUGAUCCGCCACACUGGGACUGAGACACGGCCCAGACUCCUACGGGAGGCAGCAGUGGGGAAUAUUGGACAAUGGGCGGAGGCCUGAUCCAGCAAUGCCGCGUGAGUGAUGAAGGCCUUAGGGUUGUAAAGCUCUUUUACCCGGGAUGAUAAUGACAGUACCGGGAGAAUAAGCUCCGGCUAACUCCGUG